rnacentral:rRNA from 1 species
ACGAACGCUGGCGGCGUGGCUAAAACAUGCAAGUCGCACGCGAAAGUGGAGCAAUCCGCGAGUAGAGUGGCGAAAAGGGUGAGGAAUAUAAGGGUAACGUACCCUGAGCACCAGGAUAGCUGCGGGGAAACUGCAGGUAAUACUGGAUGAGACCACGACAUCAUAAGAUGACGCGGUCAAACGGUGGGGAUCCUUCGGGACCUAUCGGCUCGGGAGCGGCCCUUAUCCCAUCAGCUAGUUGGUGAGGUAACGGCCCACCAAGGCUACGACGGGUACCGGGACUGAGAGGUUGACCCGGCACAUUGGGACUGAGACACUGCCCAGACUCCUACGGGAGGCUGCAGUAACGAAUAUUGGGCAAUGGGCGAAAGCCUGACCCAGCGACGCCGCGUGUGGGAAGAAGUUCUUCGGAAUGUAAACCACUGUCAGGGAUUACCAAGCAAAUCCGUCUAACAAACGGGUAAGUUGAGGCGUCCCAGAGGAAGCCACGGCUAACUUCGUGCCAGCAGCCGCGGUAAUACGAAGGUGGCAAGCGUUGUUCGGAAUCACUGGGCUUAAAGAGCACGUAGGCGGUCCUUCAAGUGCUUUGUGAAAUCCCUCGGCUCAACCGGGGAAUUGCUGAGCAUACUGUAGGACUUGAGGCAGGUAGGGGCGCAUGGAACUCUUGGUGGAGCGGUGGAAUGCGUAGAUAUCAAGAGGAACGCCGGUGGCGAAAGCGAUGCGCUGGGCCUGUCCUGACGCUGAGGUGCGAAAGCUAGGGGAGCAAACGGGAUUAGAUACCCCGGUAGUCCUAGCCAUAAACUAUGUCUACUAGGUCGGAGUCACUCUGACGUGUUUCCGGCCAAAACAAAAGCAUUAAGUAGACCGCCUGGGGAGUACGGUCGCAAGGCUAAAACUCAAAGGAAUUGACGGGGGCUCACACAAGCGGUGGAGCAUGUUGCUCAAUUCGAUGCAACGCGAAGAACCUUAUCCUAGGCUUGACAUGCUUGGAUGCCUACCAUGAAAGUGGAUCGGCUGCCCUUCGGGGUGAAACUUGCACAGGUGCUGCAUGGCUGUCGUCAGCUCGUGUCGUGAGAUGUCGGGUUAAGUCCCUUAACGAGCGAAACCCUUGUCGUUAAUUGCCAGCGGGUAAUGCCGGGAACUUUAACGAGACUGCCGGUGUCAAACCGGAGGAAGGUGGGGAUGACGUCAAGUCCUCAUGGCCUUUAUGCCUAGGGCUGCAAACGUGCUACAAUGGCUGGUACAAACCGACGCAAGACCGUGAGGUGGAGCAAAUCGGAAAAAAGCCAGCCCCAGUUCGGAUUGGAGUCUGCAACUCGACUCCAUGAAGUUGGAAUCGCUAGUAAUCGCGGAUCAGCUAUGCCGCGGUGAAUGUGUUCCUGAGGCCUUGUACACACCGCCCGUCAAGUCAUGGGAGCUGGGAGCACCCGAAGUCGGCUCGAUUCAGAGCUGCCGAAGGUGAGCUCGGUGACUGGGACU